CCAGACUCCUACGGGAGGCAGCAGUGGGGGAUAUUGCACAAUGGGGGGAACCCUGAUGCAGCGACGCCGCGUGGGUGAAGAAGUAUUUCGGUAUGUAAAGCCCUAUCGGCAGGGAAGAAUUUAGACGGUACCUGACUAAGAAGCCCCGGCUAACUACGUGCCAGCAGCCGCGGUAAUACGUAGGGGGCAAGCGUUAUCCGGAUUCACUGGGUGUAAAGGGAGCGUAGACGGCCAUGCAAGCCUGGAGUGAAAGCCCGGGGCCCAACCCCGGGACUGCUCUGGGAACUGUGCGGCUGGAGUGCGGGAGGGGCAGGCGGAAUUCCUGGUGUAGCGGUGAAAUGCUUAGAUAUCAUGAAGAACUCCGAUCGCGAAGGCAAGUGUCCGGGGUGCAACUGACGCUGAGGCUCGAAAGUGCGGGUAUCAAACAGGAUUAGAUACCCGUGUAGC
rnacentral:rRNA from 1 species